rfam:Gorilla gorilla gorilla genomic chromosome, chr2B, whole genome shotgun sequence
GCUGGGUAUGGUGGUGCGUGCCUGUAGUCCAGGCUACUCAGGAGGCUGAGGUGGGAGGAUCACUUGAACCCAGGAGGUCGAGGCUGCAGUGAUUGCACCACUGCACUCUGGCCUGGGCAGCAGAGUGAGACCCUGUCUCCA